rnacentral:rRNA from 1 species
GACGAACGCUGGCGGCGUGCUUAACACAUGCAAGUCGAACGGAAAGGCCCUGCUUUUGUGGGGUGCUCGAGUGGCGAACGGGUGAGUAACACGUGAGUAACCUGCCCUUGAAUUUGGGAUAACUUCAGGAAACUGGGGCUAAUAUCGGAUAGGAGCUCCUGCUGCAUGGUGGGGGUUGGAAAGUUUCGGCGGUUGGGGAUGGACUCGCGGCUUAUCAGCUUGUUGGUGGGGUAGUGGCUUACCAAGGUUUUGACGGGUAGCCGGCCUGAGAGGGUGACCGGCCACAUUGGGACUGAGAUACGGCCCAGACUCCUACGGGAGGCAGCAGUGGGGAAUAUUGCACAAUGGGCGGAAGCCUGAUGCAGCAACGCCGCGUGCGGGAUGACGGCCUUCGGGUUGUAAACCGCUUUCGCCUGUGACGAAGCGUGAGUGACGGUAAUGGGUAAAGAAGCACCGGCUAACUACGUG